rnacentral:rRNA from 1 species
AGAGUUUGAUCCUGGCUCAGGACGAACGCUGGCGGCGUGCCUAAUACAUGCAAGUAGAACGCUGAAGAGAGGAGCUUGCUCUUCUUGGAUGAGUUGCGAACGGGUGAGUAACGCGUAGGUAACCUGCCUUGUAGCGGGGGAUAACUAUUGGAAACGAUAGCUAAUACCGCAUAACAAUGGAUGACACAUGUCAUUUAUUUGAAAGGGGCAAUUGUUCCACUACAAGAUGGACCUGCGUUGUAUUAGCUAGUAGGUGAGGUAAUGGCUCACCUAGGCGACGAUACAUAGCCGACCUGAGAGGGUGAUCGGCCACACUGGGACUGAGACACGGCCCAGACUCCUACGGGAGGCAGCAGUAGGGAAUCUUCGGCAAUGGGGGCAACCCUGACCGAGCAACGCCGCGUGAGUGAAGAAGGUUUUCGGAUCGUAAAGCUCUGUUGUAAGUCAAGAACGGGUGUGAGAGUGGAAAGUUCACACUGUGACGGUAGCUUACCAGAAAGGGACGGCUAACUACGUGCCAGCAGCCGCGGUAAUACGUAGGUCCCGAGCGUUGUCCGGAUUUAUUGGGCGUAAAGCGAGCGCAGGCGGUUUGAUAAGUCUGAAGUUAAAGGCUGUGGCUCAACCAUAGUUCGCUUUGGAAACUGUCAAACUUGAGUGCAGAAGGGGAGAGUGGAACUCCAUGUGUAGCGGUGAAAUGCGUAGAUAUAUGGAGGAACACCGGUGGCGAAAGCGGCUCUCUGGUCUGUAACUGACGCUGAGGCUCGAAAGCGUGGGGAGCGAACAGGAUUAGAUACCCUGGUAGUCCACGCCGUAAACGAUGAGUGCUAGGUGUUGGAUCCUUUCCGGGAUUCAGUGCCGCAGCUAACGCAUUAAGCACUCCGCCUGGGGAGUACGACCGCAAGGUUGAAACUCAAAGGAAUUGACGGGGGCCCGCACAAGCGGUGGAGCAUGUGGUUUAAUUCGAAGCAACGCGAAGAACCUUACCAGGCCUUGACAUCCCGAUGCUAUUUCUAGAGAUAGAAAGUUACUUCGGUACAUCGGUGACAGGUGGUGCAUGGUUGUCGUCAGCUCGUGUCGUGAGAUGUUGGGUUAAGUCCCGCAACGAGCGCAACCCCUAUUGUUAGUUGCCAUCAUUCAGUUGGGCACUCUAGCGAGACUGCCGGUAAUAAACCGGAGGAAGGUGGGGAUGACGUCAAAUCAUCAUGCCCCUUAUGACCUGGGCUACACACGUGCUACAAUGGUUGGUACAACGAGUUGCGAGUCGGUGACGGCGAGCUAAUCUCUUAAAGCCAAUCUCAGUUCGGAUUGUAGGCUGCAACUCGCCUACAUGAAGUCGGAAUCGCUAGUAAUCGCGGAUCAGCACGCCGCGGUGAAUACGUUCCCGGGCCUUGUACACACCGCCCGUCACACCACGAGAGUUUGUAACACCCGAAGUCUGUGAGGUAACCUUUUGGAGCCAGCCGCCUAAGGUGGGACAGAUGAUUGGGGUGAAGUCGUAACAAGGUA